UACGUAGGGUGCGAGCGUUAAUCGGAAUUACUGGGCGUAAAGCGUGCGCAGGCGGUUAUGUAAGACAGAUGUGAAAUGCCCGGGCUUAACCUGGGAACUGCAUUUGUGACUGCAUGGCUAGAAUCUGGCAGAGGGGGGUAGAAUUCCACGUGUAGCAGUGAAAUGCGUAGAUAUGUGGAGGAACACCGAUGGCGAAGGCGGAUCUCUGGGCCAUUACUGACGCUGAGGAGCGAAAGGCGUGGGGAGCGAACAGG
rnacentral:rRNA from 1 species